UCCGGCCCGGCGCGGGGGAUGACUUCUUGCGGCCGGAGCUCGGCGGCGGAAGCAGCUGCUGCAGCUUGCAGGUGUGGUGGGGCCGGCCGAGCUGACCACGCACAGACCCGGCGCGGCGGCACUGCGGCCCCGGGGCAGCCGGCGCCGGGGACAUGCGCUGAUUCGAUCCCUCCGGAGAAGUUUCCUGAGUUUCUGGGAAGGCCUGGUUUCCCCAAAGGAAUGAUUUCUGGUAGAAGUCUGAAGGUCUGACCCAAGAAAAAAACUCCAGUAUAGCCAAUGAAUUGAGGACAAGAAGGUUUCCAAUCAGUGUGAUCCCAGAAGUCUCACCAAGAGAUGGUGUUGAUUCUUCUCAGUGCAAGAGGGAUCAUGAUUGACUGAUGGCUCCAGUUACUGUUACCAGCACAGGACAGAGCCUGGUGUGGCCAAGAAAGCGGGCCAUUCCUGUGAAUACAAGACUGCCCCAACAGGCAUACUGUUGCUGCGUUUAACCUCACUGAAGCCAGACUAAUCCAGAGAUGUUCUUAGCUUCCUGUGACUCAUAUGAAGGUUAUCAUUUUAGAAGAGACCUUGAAAACAUACUCUGGAUUUAGGGGGGAAAAAAAACUCUGACAUUUCCAAGAGGAAAAGCUUUUUUUAAGUUUUAUAUUGUAGAUGCAGAGCUUAAAGCAUUUAAACACAUACAGCAAGCAAUAUAAUAUGAAUCAUGUAACAAAAGUUAAAUUUAAGUGAAAACCUUUUGUGGUAUGUUGCAGUCACAAAAGAAGAUACAAAAUUAAUGUGGACACCUGCUUGUUUUACUUGUAUCAGGAGAAAAUAAAAUUCAUUGUCAUUUAAUGAAUUGCUUUCUGUUGUAGCACACUUAAUUAUCUCUUCCUGUAACCCCAAGAAGUAUCUUUUCAAACUCACAGCUGUAUCUGAAUAGGGGCUACCAACUAAAGAGGAGAUGAAUGCUAACCCCUUUUCCAGCUAGCUGCAUGUGGAACAGUUCUGGCUUCAGUCCCCUGCCACCUGCCAGCUCUGGGCUCUCAGGGUGCUCCUGGGAGAAUCAUAGGAAUGCAGAUGAACCCCUGAAAGAGACCUGAUGGUGCAGAGAAGGCAUCUGACAGAGGAUCAUGAAGCAGAGAGCAAAGAAGUGGGGUUGAAAAGAGGGAGGUAUACGCGGAGAUUGUUUUUCAUCUCAAAAUGUGCCAUUGUAUUCUACAUUCUCCUUGAAACAUUUCAAGGGCUCCAUUUGCAUAUAUUAGAUGCUUACUUCUUUUCACAUCAUGUUCUCCAUUCCUACUGAAUUAUGUGUCAAUCUAUGAACUGUUUCUCCUUUGUACUUCUGUCACUUUAGUACAUUAACAAUUGCAAGUAGAGGUUUUCCACAGUGUGUUUUCUUCUUGGUACAACUUCUUUUGAAUCUAUCCUGUGUAUACAGAAAGAUCUCAAGCGUGUGGGCCAGUCAGAAUGAAUCCAAGCCCGCACUGGUGGAAGUCUACAUUCUAGAAGGGCUCCAAAGACACAAGGACACACAGUUGCAGUGAUUACAAUACUCAAACCUACCUAGAUUAGUUGCAAAGAUACUUCUUUAGCACUAUUUUCACAUUAAUUCUAUUAUUGUUUAAAUAUAAUUGCGUUUCUCUAGUUGAUGUAAGUAAAUCCUUUGCUUAAAAUAUUUCAUUUUGUUUCAACUGUUAAUUUGUUUUCUGAAAUGAGUGUAAUAAAUACACAUUUUUAUUUGUCCUAACAAUUAAAAUGCAUGGAUUAACCCCCAGCUUGUACAGAUGCAGAAUCAUUACUAUCCCUAACAACGUAAAACUCUGACAAAUUAGAUAUCACUAUUUCUUAAGGAAAAUUGAUCAUAAGAUAAUUUUUGGACCUAAAAAUCUGCAUUUGUCUCAAGCACAUUUAACAUGCAUUCAUGGGAGAAGGAUCAUCUUUUUUCUGUUUCAUAUACAACUCUGUUAAGUGGAUAUCUUAUGUUUUCUUACAUUUCCUGCAUAUAAUUUAAAGGAAAAAAAAGCCACCCAAAAAGAGAAUAGAGGGAAUGAAUGUCUCAAUCCUUUUUUAAUUGUAUCACUGAUUCUUGGGGGGGGUAUAGUGUGAUAGCUUCUGUAUUUUCUCUACUCCCUCCCUCCCCAAUUUUACUGAGUUGUGGUUGAUUAUAACAUUGUAUAAGUUUAAAGAGUACAACAUAAUGAUUUGAUACAUGCAUAUAAUGUGAAAUGAUUACCACAAUAAAUUUAGUUAACAUCUGUCACCUCACAUAGUUGCAACAUUUUUUUUGUGAAGAGAACUUUUAAGAUUUACUCUCUCAGCAAUUUUCAAAUAUACAAAACAGUAUUGUUAACUUUAAUCAUUAUGCUGUGCAUUACAUCCCUAAGACUUUUUAUUUUAUAAUUAAAAGUUUGUGCCCUUUGACCACCUUCAAAUAUUUCCCCUACACCCCAGCUCCCACAUGUGGCAACCACUGAUUUGAUGCCUUUUUAUGAGUUUUUUCUUUUCAGAUUCCAUUUAAUUGAGGCCAUACACUGUUUGUCUUUCUCUGAUUUAUUUCACUUAGUAUAAUGCCUUCUCUACUUUCUUGAUGACUUGGUUAUUUGCCCUAAUUUAAUAACAACAAAAAAUGUUUAUUGAAGACCCCUGUGAAUAUUAAGACUAAAUUUACAAACUGUCUCACACGUUUACAAAAUGUCUCACAGAGUUAUUUAACUAAUCUUUCUAUUGUUUACACGUAUUCUAACAACACAUUUGAUUCCCAGUUGAUUUUCAGUUUAUUUUAGUGAAUUUUCUGGCCACUUUGGCCUCAUAGUUGUUGAUGAAAAUAGUCUGUAAAAAUUGAGAAAAAUUAUUUAUCAUUUUUUUGUUUUUUUGACAAAUCUGUUCAGUCCUACAUGCCUCAGACACUAGUAUUUAUUGAUAUUUUUGUUAUAGUGCUUAAAGAAUUUGUGUACCUUCUGUUAAUGGUGAUAUCACCACCUUGCUACAGAAUUAAUCUUGUCUUCAGUUAAGCUGUGAGUAAAUGUGGUGCAGCAGAAAUGGGUGGCCUUUUACUCUGUUCACACGCGAACAUGUGAACAAAAAAACGGAAAGAAACACAGUAAAUUGUUGUUGUGACUGAAGUAACUUACUAUGUAGGUCUAUGGGUUUUAAUUAUUUCUUCCUUCUGGGAUUCUACUUGCUUACUUCUUUUUUUCUUAUACAGGAUAUGUCAGCAUUUAGAGCCAAUUCUGUUCUUCAGUGAUGUGAGAGAAAUAUCAGUUUAAACUUAUGUCACUGGUUGCAGCAGGGGAUUGGGACCAUAAAAAAAUGAUUAUGAAUUCGGUAAUAUGCCUUGCAUAAAGUGGUCAGAAAAGAUCUGGACUUUUCCCAAAGACUUAUAGAGCCUGAAAAUAAAGCCUGGUUAUAAGGGAAGAGAACUCUAAGAAGACAAACUUUCAGUUAAACUAAAAUGAAAAUAGCUACAGAAAAACAUUUUAGCCAAAUAAAUCUAGCAAUAUUUUCAGAGUUUCAGUUUCAAAAAAAAGAAAAACAAAACUAAAGAACAAUAAGAGAUAUUUUUAUAUGUAAACCUGAGAGAUGUGGCCAAAUGAUACUUCUUGGAAAGUAUGUGUGAAUUUCUUAUUUGAUAAUUUAUAUCAGUAUGGACUCAUGGAUAUAUAUUUUAUUCUAAAGGGUAAAAUCCAAUGCUAUCAUAUUAGUUUUGUUCUCAUAUUGAUUAUUAAGAGCUUCUACUCUAUAUUUAAAUAAAUAUUUUAGAAAAAAUAAACUACGUAAACCAUUCAAGUAGCUGGAAAAAAAUGACAGGCAUGAAAAGUGUUUAAAGUAAUUAAUAAUAAAGAUAACAAUUAACCAAAUAUAAAAUAUUUAUAAUUGAGAAUUAUAUAUAUAAGAAACAAUAUAAGAAAACUAAAUCCAGUGCUUUAAAGGGACCAAAGAUACAUUCUAUGUAAACCAGGUUUUUAUAAAGGCUAUUAGUUUUGUGAUUUGAAAGAGACUGAGAAACCAUGCGGCUACUAAUUAUAAUCUGCUGUGAAUAAAUUUGAAAGAUAAUAUUAUAUGAAAAAAAUUUCAGACACACAUAAAUGCUGAAAUCAAAUUAGGUCAAAUUGAGAAACCAGAAUAGACCAAUGACUAUAGAAAAUAUGUUAGAAAUUGUACUUUAUGCCUCUACUAAAAUCUCUCCUCCACCAGAUCUACUGUGACCACUAUUUAAAACUGUAGCCCCUCUACUCAUUUCCUCUUUCUCAAACCCCUAGACCUUGCCCUACUUUUAAUUCUCUUCAGCAGUAUUUAUCAAUGUCUAAGAUACUAUACUGCUUACCUAUUUAUUAUGCUUGUUGUUGACUGUCUCCCUCACUAGAGUGUAGUAUCAAAAGCUCAAAGCUAGGGCUUCCCUGGUGGCACAGUGGUUGAGAGUCCACCUGCUGAUGCGGGAGACGUGGGUUCGUGCCCCGGUCCGAGAGGAUCCCUUGUGCCAUGGAGCGGCUGGGCCCGUGAGCCAUGGCCGCUGAGCCUGCACGUCCAGAGCCUGUGCUCUGCAACGGGAGAGGCCACAACAGUGAGAGGCCCGCGUACAGCAAAAAAAAAAAAAAA